rnacentral:rRNA from 1 species
UACGGAGGGUGCGAGCGUUAAUCGGAAUUACUGGGCGUAAAGGGUGCGUAGGUGGUUGUAUAAGUUAUCUGUGAAAUCCCUGGGCUUAACCUGGGCAGGUCAGAUAAGACUGUAUGACUCGAGUAUGGGAGAGGGUAGUGGAAUUUCCGGUGUAGCGGUGAAAUGCGUAGAGAUCGGGAGGAACAUCUGUGGCGAAGGCGGCCAUCUGGACCAGCACUGACACUGAGGCACGAAAGCGUGGGGAGCAAACAGG